GUGGGGAAUCUUGCGCAAUGGGCGAAAGCCUGACGCAGCCAUGCCGCGUGAAUGAUGAAGGUCUUAGGAUUGUAAAAUUCUUUCACCGGGGACGAUAAUGACGGUACCCGGAGAAGAAGCCCCGGCUAACUUCGUGCCAGCAGCCGCGGUAAUACGAAGGGGGCUAGCGUUGCUCGGAAUUACUGGGCGUAAAGGGCGCGUAGGCGGACAGUUUAGUCAGAGGUGAAAGCCCAGGGCUCAACCUUGGAAUUGCCUUUGAUACUGGCUGUCUUGAGUACGGGAGAGGUGAGUGGAACUCCGAGUGUAGAGGUGAAAUUCGUAGAUAUUCGGAAGAACACCAGUGGCGAAGGCGACUCACUGGCCCGUUACUGACGCUGAGGCGCGAAAGCGUGGGGAGCAAACAGGAUUAGAUCCCCAGUAGUCC
rnacentral:rRNA from 1 species